UACGUAGGGUGCGAGCGUUGUCCGGAAUUAUUGGGCGUAAAGAGCUCGUAGGCGGUGUGUCACGUCGUUCGUGAAAACCUGCAGCUUAACUGUGGGCGUGCGGUCGAUACGGGCAUCACUGGAGUUCGGCAGGGGAGACUGGAAUUCCUGGUGUAGCGGUGGAAUGCGCAGAUAUCAGGAGGAACACCGGUGGCGAAGGCGGGGUCUCUGGGCAGUAACUGACGCUGGAGGAGCGAAAGCGUGGGGAGCGAACAGG
rnacentral:rRNA from 1 species